rnacentral:rRNA from 1 species
AGGACGAACGCUGGCGGCGUGCCUAACACAUGCAAGUGGAGCGACGAACCAGGCUUCGGCCUGGGGCAGAGCCGCGAACGGGUGAGUAACACGUGGGUAACCUGCCCUGAUGAUUGGGACAACCCGAGGAAACUCGGGCUAAUACCGAAUGUGCCCUCCGGCCUCAAGGCCGCUGGGGAAAGGAAGCUUCGGCCUCCGCAUCGGGAUGGGCCCGCGGCCCAUUAGCUUGUUGGUGAGGUAACGGCUCACCAAGGCAACGAUGGGUAGCUGGUCUGAGAGGACGAUCAGCCACACUGGGACUGAGACACGGCCCAGACUCCUACGGGAGGCAGCAGUGGGGAAUCUUGCGCAAUGCGCGAAAGCGUGACGCAGCAACGCCGCGUGGGGGAAGACGGCCUUCGGGUUGUAACCCCUUUCAGUUGGGACGAAGCUCCGCCGGUGAAUAGCCGGCUGGAGUGACGGUACCUUCAGAAGAAGCCCCGGCUAACUACGUGCCAGCAGCCGCGGUAAU